rfam:Asian citrus Psyllid, Diaphorina citri - Florida Strain, whole genome shotgun sequence.
GCCUAGUUAGCUUAGUUGGUAGUUGGUAGCGCGUCUGCCUUGUAAGCGCUAGGCCGCGGGUUCGAUUCCCGCCCGGGGCG